rnacentral:rRNA from 1 species
AGUGAACGCUGGCGGUAGGCCUAACACAUGCAAGUCGAACGGCAGCACAGUAAGAGCUUGCUCUUACGGGUGGCGAGUGGCGGACGGGUGAGGCAUACAUCGGAAUCUACUUUUUCGUGGGGGAUAACGUAGGGACACUUACGCUAAUACCGCAUACGACCUACGGCUGAAAGCAGGGGAUCUUCGGACCUUGCGCGAUUGAAUGAGCCGAUGUCGGAUUAGCUAGUUGGCAGGGUAAAGGCCCACCAAGGCGACGAUCCGUAGCUGGUCUGAGAGGAUGAUCAGCCACACUGGAACUGAGACACGGUCCAGACUCCUACGGGAGGCAGCAGUGGGGAAUAUUGGACAAUGGGCGCAAGCCUGAUCCAGCCAUACCGCGUGGGUGAAGAAGGCCUUCGGGUUGUAAAGCCCUGUUGUUGGGAAAGAAAAGCAGCAGGUGAAUACCCCGCUGUUCUGACGGUACCCAAAGAAUAAGCACCGGCUAACUUCGUG